CGACGAUGCUGAUCUCUUAAAAUACUUU
rnacentral:piRNA from 1 species